GUCUAGGUGAGAUGCUACAUUCUCUCUCACUAUAUAUAUAUAUAUAUAAACUCUUUUUUGUUCUUAGAAAAUUGAGAGUUAGAUGCAAAAAUAACAACGCUUUAUAUCAAAACAAAAAGGGAAAAAAUGACUAAAUGGGUCAAAACAAUUACAACUCCAUUUAGAAAAGCUAGAACUUUUUUCAAUAAUAAUCAACAAUCACCAAGAGAUUCACCAAGGGAAAAGAAGUCACAAGAAGAAGAACAAGAUAAGCAUGUAGUAGAUUUGCAAGGUGAAGUAAUGGCUUGUGGAUAUGAAGAUGUUCAAGUGAUGUGGUCAAUUUUGGACAAAUCCAAAGCCAUUAGAACAUAAAUCUUUGUUCUAUUUUGAACUUUAAUUAAACCAAGGCACAUAUUGUACAUAUUUUUUUAUCAUUAUCUUGUUCAUGUGGUGGCUAAAUUGACGCCCAAAAAACAAGAUUUUGAAAAUUUUGAUGAUGUACUAUACAUACCCCUCCCCCUCCCAAAAAAAAAAAAAACACAUAACAAGAAUUUUUUUUUUGGCUAAUCCCCAUGAUCAAUGAAAAUCACAGAGUUUUUUGUAUUUGA